rnacentral:rRNA from 1 species
UAAGGAAUAUUGGUCAAUGGACGCAAGUCUGAACCAGCCAUGCCGCGUGGAGGAUGAAGGUCCUCUGGAUUGUAAACUUCUUUUAUCUGGGACGAAACACUUCUUUUCUAAGAGGCCUGACGGUACCAGAUGAAUAAGCACCGGCUAACUCCGUGCCAGCAGCCGCGGUAAUACGGAGGGUGCAAGCGUUAUCCGGAUUCACUGGGUUUAAAGGGUGCGUAGGUGGGCUUAUAAGUCAGUGGUGAAAUCUCCGAGCUUAACUUGGAAACUGCCGUUGAUACUAUAGGUCUUGAAUUAUCUGGAGGUAAGCGGAAUAUGUCAUGUAGCGGUGAAAUGCUUAGAUAUGACAUAGAACACCAAUUGCGAAGGCAGCUUACUACAUAUAAAUUGACGCUGAGGCACGAAAGCGUGGGGAUCAAACA